ensembl:lncRNA
AGGUAUGAAUUCAUGGUGAGGAUGCCCAUUCCCCAUUGGGAUGGGUGAAUCAGGAUCUCUGACUGUGCAGCCAAACUCAUAAAUGAAGCAGCUGUUCCAAAACUGUCAAGGUCUGAGCUUGAGCUGCUUUUGGUAGGAUGGUUGUGAUUCAGCUGGGAACAGUCCUGCGACAACAGUGAGUAGACUGGGUGGUGACAAAAUCACAGCCUUUACUAGGAAUAAAUGAAGAUUUCUUGGCACAGAGAAGCCAUUCAAGCUACAGCAGUAAUGGAAGAAACCCCACUGGAUAUGAGAAAGAUUUGGAGUACAGUGUAGUCUUCUUUCAGGCUUUAUGUGUCCCCUGUGACAAAUAUAAUGGGAGGAGAAGGGAGCAGCAGCACUGGAACAUCAGCUUUCAUCUUCUAUUGAGCAACCUGUCUGAAAGCAGUAGCCCUAAAUACAUCCUCACUCCUGAGCCUGAUCCUAUUUGAUGCAGGAUAAGAGGAGAUGGGCUAGAAGCUGUGUCACGUGCUUAGCAAAGAAACCUCUCCAUCAGUUCUGAAACUCGUGAAGAUAUUCAGAUUCAAUUGCAUCAUGCUUGCCAUUUCAAAGCCUUCGAUGACUGAUCUCAUACUUGGAAAAUAUCAAAACUGGGUGCGAUAGGGCAACUCAGCUUGUCUCACAGCCUCUUUUCUGAGGGCUGCUGCAGCUCCAUGGCAGCUCCCUCAUACUCAGAAGUGUCUCUAGAGAAUGACCAAGCAUACUUUCUUAACAUUAAUCAUUGCAGUAAUUACUUAUUUUAAAAUGAAAGUAUUUUCUUUUGCCAUGUUUUCUUUGGGAAUGAUACAAUGCACUGUUUCAAAAAGUGAUUUAUAUUGUUGCUUUAUGUUGGAGUUAGCAUUAAAUAUUCCCUAUGUAUUUAAGAAAUGAACUGAACUAUUAUACCUAGCCUUUAUAUAAAUGAAUCAGUUUUUCGGUUAUGUGCUACCUUGGGUCUAACCCAUGGAAUAGUGCCAGCAACGAGAAUUGAAACCAGCUUGCCUGCAAGUACCUGGGACCAUCUCCCAGAGCCUUGUGGUGUUGCUCUGCUCAGUGGCAUGUUGGCUCAACACCUGAGUGGUCUGCUGCUUUUGUGUGAUCUCUAAUCCUGAAAUAGGUGGCAAUGUUCCAUGGGAUGCAAAGGGACCUUAAGACACCUUGAAAAGUCUCAUGGAAAGAGAAAUUGCCAAGAAGUCUGAAGAGAAGUUUGGAGAAAAACACUGGAAAUUAGAUCUUGCUUUCUUCAAAUGCUAAGCAGUAAAUCAAGGUUCAGAGGCUGUGGAGAAAGAGAGAAACUAUAGAACAGGAAAUGUGCCGGACCUCUAUGAAAGAGGUGGGAACCUGAUAAGAUGUCUUACCUGG